UCGGGAAUUUUGGGCAAUGGGCGAAAGCCUGACCCAGCAACGCCGCGUGAGGGAUGAAGUAUUUCGGUAUGUAAACCUCGAAAGAAUGGGAAGAAUAAAUGACGGUACCAUUUAUAAGCUCCGGCUAACUUCGUGCCAGCAGCCGCGGUAAUACGAAGGAUGCAAGCGUUAUCCGGAAUUAUUGGGUUUAAAGGGUGCGUAGGCGGACUAAUAAGUCAGUGGUGAAAGCCUGCAGCUUAACUGCAGAAUUGCCAUUGAUACUGUUAGUCUUAAGUACAGUUGAGGUAGGCGGAAUGUGUCAUGUAGCGGUGAAAUGCUUAGAUAUGACACAGAACACCGAUUGCGAAGGCAGCUUGCUAAGCUGUAACUGACGCUGAGGCACGAAAGCGUGGGGAGCAAACA
rnacentral:rRNA from 1 species